ensembl:lincRNA
AAAUUCUUACAGACCCCAAACUUAUGGUGGUUUAUUUGUAACAAUCCCUUUCCGUCUUGUUUAUGCACAGUCUAUCAUGAAAGUUCUGGAAAAUCCUAACAGUUGGAAUGCUUUCCGCACUGCUGGAGGAUUUACCGGCUUGCUCUCCAUUGUUGUGGACAUGGAAGGAUCUCUUUUGGAAACCCCAGCGGGUCCGUGGGCUUCACUGAGCCGCCAGAGCCUCGUUGAACUGCUUCUUUUCACCCUACACACCAUUGCCUUUGCUGUUCACAUCCAUCCAGUCAACGCACACUUUUUUCACACAGUUGGAGUCUGUGAGAAGCUGGGUGAGGCCCUGCUGCAUCUUGGCUGUUUUCAGAAAGGGGAUCCUGUGGAAUCAGACAGAGACAGUUCGGCCUACAGGACUUUCCAGCAGUUUGUGGAGGUGGUGGAAAAGCCAGGACCUCAGCUGCCAGCACCUUUAGGAGACUGUGUUAAGCUGCUGGGCUUCCUAGAACAGUUUGCUACUGGUGUGAGCUUGGCUGCUGAUCCUUGCACAGGCUUGCAGGAUAAUAAUGAAGCUGGCGAGAUUCAGAUCAUAGACUCAGGUCAGACACCAGAGGAAUCGACCAAUAAGGAUGAAGCUUUUAAUCACGUUAGGGCUCCAAGUGUAUCUGUAGUAUCUAUAGAAUCGGGGAGGAUUUACGGUAACUUUACAAUCCUUCAUCCUGGAGCUGUUAAGCUCAUCAUGACUCUUCUGCCUAGUAUUUACUGUCCCAGUGACCCUUGUGUAAGUAAAACCACAAUCACAUACUGUACACUAAAUGAUUUAAAAAUAUAUAUGCUUUAAAUUAAUACCUUGAGCUCCUCAGGGCAGGAUGUAUUUAGUGUUAAAUAAUCCAUAAUAUAUUAUUUAAGUUUGCUGAUUUGGUGAAAACUGAUUUCCUGCUUAUUUAUUUAUUUUUGUAGAAACUGAUGUUUUUUUUCAGGGUUUUCUUUCAUUUAUUGAAAGAGUUAAAAGAACAUAAUUUAUUUAUUUAUUUAUUUUUUUUUUAUAAAUGUUCCUUCUGCCACUUUUAAUCAAUUUGAUGCAUUCUUACAGCAACUACAAUAAUUCUAGCCAUUUUUUUCUGUAGUUGUCAGAGGAGCUGCAGCUGGCUGUGGCUCAUCAUGUCCAGACUCUGGUGAAGUCCGAGAGAAACAGGCAGAUCAUGUGUGAAUUUGGUCUGUUGUCUACACUGUUGACUCACUGCAAAGACAUCCUCAUCGACAAUUCCCAUUCGCUACACUUGCCCAUUGUCCGGAUUCUCGAGAAACUUGCCUCUCAGUCCAUGGAUCAGAAGUGCCUGAGGUCAGCAUGCAUUUGCUGUUAACAUCCUCACAAAAAAAUGCAAUAUGAUAAAUAGAUGAUUAUAUGAUUGUAUGCUGUUAAAUAGUGUGCUUUGCUUUAUAUUAGGCACUUCCUGUGUCUUGGGGAUCCACUGAUGUGUUGUGGAGAAAAUCAGCCUUCUGUCACCUUAGAAGAGGCCAGCUGCACAAGUACAGUUCCUCCCAGUCCUCUCACACUUCCUUUUUGGAUUACUGCCUGUUUCGUGAAAAACAUUUGAUCUUAUUGUUACAUCCAUUUGGAUUUCAAUACAAUAAUGAUGGUUUUAUAUUGUUUUUGGUUUUUACUUUCACAGAUCAGACCAAAGACUCUGAGGAGAACAACAAGAAGUCAUUGAAAAGGGCAAUGAAAAGAAGUUUUAGUUUACUGAAAACACCUUUAGACAGUGGGAUGGUAGUUCCUCUUCACAGAAUCAUAAGUCUUGUCUCCAUCACGUCACCACGGAACUUUCAGCCACACAAAGUCUCCAUUUCCCCUUCCUUUGUGGAGUUUGACAUGACCGACAGUGGCUAUGGGUAAGUGUUUAAUAAACAAUUAAUAUGGACCCUUUCACAAGGCGCGUUUAAUGGUCAUCAGCAUCUUAAAUCCUUGAAAAUUUUUAUAUUUUAAAACAUAUGCCAAUGUAUUAUAUACAUUUAUUAAAAUGUAUUAUAUCAUCUUUUCAUAAAAAAAAUAAUAAUAAAAUAAAAAUAAUAAAAAAUAAUCGCUUAUGUGAGGUGUUUCUAAUGCCGUUUCUAUGGGUGGG